AGCGAACGCUGGCGGCAGGCCUAACACAUGCAAGUCGAACGAACUCUUCGGAGUUAGUGGCGGACGGGUGAGUAACACGUGGGAACGUGCCUUUAGGUUCGGAAUAACUCAGGGAAACUUGUGCUAAUACCGAAUGUGCCCUUCGGGGGAAAGAUUUAUCGCCUUUAGAGCGGCCCGCGUCUGCUUAGCUAGUUGGUGAGGUAACGGCUCACCAAGGCGACGAGCAGUAGCUGGUCUGAGAGGAUGACCAGCCACACUAGGACUGGAACACGGCCCAGACUCCUACNGNAGGCAGCAGUGGGGANUCUUGCGCAAUGGGCGAAAGCCUGACGAAGCCAUGCCGCGUGAAUGAUGAAGGUCUUAGGAUUGUAAAAUUCUUUCACCGGNGACGAUAAUGACGGUACCCGGAGAAGAAGCCCCGGCUAACUUCGUGCCAGCCGCCGCCGUAACA
rnacentral:rRNA from 1 species